GGUCGAUUCUGGCUCAGAUUGAACGCUGGCGGGAUGCUUACACAUGCAAGUCGAACGGCAGCACGGACUUCUUGGUCCGUGGCGAGUGGCACUGGCGUGAGUAAUGUAUCGGAACGUGCCUAGUAGCGGGGGAUAACUACGCGAAAGCGUAGCUAAUACGCAUGGCUGUUCUUCGGGAAAGCGGGGGACCUUCGGGCCUGCACUAUUAGAGCGGCCGAUAUCGGAUUAGCUGGGUUGUGGGUAACGGCUCACCAAGGCGACGAUCCGUGAAGCUGGUUUGAGAGCACGACUCCAGCCACACUGGGACUGAGACACGGCCCAGACUACGGGAGGCAGCAGUGGGGAAUUUUGGACAAUGGGGAAAUCCUGAUCCAGCCAUCCUUUAUGCAAAGAUGAAGGCCUCGGGUUGUAAAGCACUUUGGCAGGGAAAGAAAUGCACGGGAUAAUACCCCGUGCAACUGACGGUACCUGCAGAAUAAGCACCGGCUAACUACGUGCCAGCAGCCGUUGCGGUAAUACGUAGGGGUGCAAGCGCGUUAAUCGGAAUUACUGGGCGUAAAGCGUGCGCAGGCGGUUCGAAAGAAAGAUGUGAAAUCCCAGAGUUUAACUUUGAUCCGCAUUUUUAACUACCGAGCUAGAGUGUGUCAGAGGGAGGUGGAAUUCGCGUAGCAGUGAAAUGCGUAGAUAUGCGGAGGAACACCGAUGGCGAAGGCAGCCUCCUGGGAUAACACUGACGCUCAUGCACGAAAGCGUGGGGAGCAAACAGGAUUAGAUACCCUGGUAGUCCACGCCCCAAACGAUGUCAACUAGCUUUCGUUGGGGCCUUCGGCCUUGGUAGCAGCUAACUGGCAGGAAGUUGACCGCCUGGGGAGACACGCAAGAUUAAAACUCAGCGAAUUGACGGGGACCCGCACAAGGGUGGAUGAUGGAUUAAUUCGAUGCAACGCGAAAACCUUACCUACCCUUGACAUGUCUGGAAUCCCGAAGAUUGGGAGUGCUCGCAUGCAGAACCGGAACACAGGUGCUGCAUGGCUGUCGUCAGCUCGUGGCCGUGAGAUGUUGGGUUAAGUCCCGCAACGAGCGCAACCCUUGUCAUUAGUUACAUGGAAAGCGGCGUGUAAUUUAAUGAGACUUGCCGGUGACAAACCGGAGGAAGGCGGGGAUGACGUCAAGUCCUCGCUGCCCCGGUGGUAGGGCUUCACCAUACGUCAUACAAUGGUCGGGACAGAGGGUCGCCAACCUCGCGAGGGGGAGCCAAUCCCAGAAACCCGAUCGUAGUCCGGAUCGUGAAGCCCGUAACUCGACUGCGUGAAGUCGGAAUCGCCAGUAAUCGCGGAUCAGCAUGUCGCGGUGAAUACGUUCCCGGUCUUGUACACACCGCCCGUCACACCAUGGGAGUGGGUUUUACCAGAAGUAGUUAGCCUAACCGUAAGGAGGGCGAUUACCACGGUAGGAUUCAGACUGGGGUGAAGUCGUAACAAGGUAA
rnacentral:rRNA from 1 species